AGCAGCCCCAGCUCCCGGGCCCCUCCCGCCGGGCAGCGAGCUGGGCGUCAGGACAGUCCCUGGCGGAGGGGGCCGGCCAGCCGGGGCCGCCCAUAGCACCGCCCGGAACGGGGGCGGGGCCGGCUGAGCCUGCCGGGCUCCCGUCCGCCCCGCCUACCCCUGGUGCCGGGGGCUGGCGGCGGAACCAGGCGGUGGCGGCGGCCAGGAUGGCAGCGCCCAUCAUCCCCGAGAGCGGCAGCAUCAAAAAAGCAGUGUUGCUCAUUAACAUGAUAGACCCAGGCAAAUUUCCUAGAUUACUCUCCCGCAUCCUUCAAAAGCUUCAUCUAAAGGCUGAGAGCAGUUUCAGUGAAGAGGAGGAAGAAAAACUGCAAGCUGCGUUUUCAGUGGAGAAGCAAGAUCUUCAUUUAGUCCUUGAAACUAUAUCAUUUAUUUUGGAACAGGCAGUCUAUCAUAACCUGAAACCAGCUAUUCUGCAACAGCAGCUGGAGAGCAUUCAUCUUGAUCAAGACAAAGCAGAAGCAUUUGUCAGUGCAUGGAUUGCUGCAGGUCAAGAUACAAUUGAAAAGUUCAGGCAGAGGAUUUUGGCCCCUCAAAAGCUUGAGACAAUUGGAUGGCAGCUUAACCUUCAGAUGGCUCAGUCCACCCAAGCGAAACUGAAAUCUCCUCAAGCUGUAUUAGAACUUGGAAUGAGCAAUGAAGAUUCAAAGGGGGAAGACUUGUCUCUCAUACAAAUUACUGGUCCAUUUCUGGGUCUUUGUAACCUUCUUGAAAUCCUUGGAAAGAAGCCCUUUCUGUAGAGAAGAGGAGGCAGCAUUGGAGCAACACGCUGGCCCCAAAUCUGGAGAAAGUGUUUGUGGAAUUCAGUCAUCAGGAGCUGUUUGAGUUCUAUAACAAGCUGGAGACUAUACAAGCACAGCUGGAUUCCCUUACGUGAUGUUUUUGAAGACUUGUUUCUCCCUCGCACUCCUGCCACCUCAUUAUUUUGAAUUGAAGAUAGAUUGCCAAGCUGUGUUCGCUGAUGGAUUCAAUAGGUUGCUUCCUGUAAAAUUAUAUGGCUUAUCUCCUCUUAGACCAGUAACAUUAGCCAAGGGAGAUCAUUGUUAAGAGUUCUGAGCUUCUAAUUGACUUUCUCUUGUUUUUGAACCAACAGCAUUUGUUAAGAACAGUGUUACGUGAGGAAAAAAAAUGUAAUACCAUACUGUUGGUUUAUAGUUCUUCUAUACUUUAUUACCUGUGUUGCUUGAUUCAUUACACAUCUGAUGGCAAUUCACAUACUAGUGAGGGACAGGAAUAAAAUCUGUAUCAAAGUUAUUAGAAGAAUAUAAAACUUAAGGAGUUACAUUAGUAGAAGUAGUCAAAAAAUAGACAGAAUUGUCUCCAUCCUUUUGAAUUUCUCCCUUCCCUCCCUCCC